rnacentral:lncRNA from 1 species
CAAAGACUUUUCUUCUGAGCUUUUGCUUACAGUAGCUUGUUUAGAUUUUUGUUUGUUAGGCUCUUACUUGAUUGUAGUCCUCAGAAGGUCAGACUGUUUGCGUUUCCAUCUUUCAGCCAGUGGUACAAAAAAAAGGGAAACUGAAGAGAGGAUAUAGCAGGUGCCAGAGAAAUAGAAAGAGCCUGUGUAAGUCUGUGUGUAAUCAUAUAUCCAGCCUGCAAGGUAGGAAUGAUUUCUGUUAAUGAAGUGAUCCCUACUUUUGUUACUCUCAAACAAAUCUUAAGACUUUGAAGGAAAAUGUCUCCUGUUCUCAGUCCAUAUUGUGAGCCAUUGGACUUAAAUAGGGCUUCUCACCUGUCUUGAAACUGGAUCAUUUUAUCUGAAUAGAAACUUACAUUAUUAAAUACAAAAGUCAUUGUGGUCUCCAAAAACAUGUCUUAGGGUAGAAGAAACUGGAGAAAAUUAGGGACACAGCACUUCACUUUAUGGUGAUUAUUAGAGACUGCUGUUCCUUCUUAUAAGGAAAGUAACCGUAAAUAAGUCGUUUUGUUUCAAAGAAAAAAAGAGACUGAACCUUUACUGAGCCCUCAAAGUUUAUAGUUUUAGUGGAAAGUAGAUAGUAACCACUUAAAAUAUCUAUUUGGUAAAUUCUAUAAAGGAGUGGGGGCUGUGAUCACAUGAGAAAGAACUGCUUGAUAAAUGUGCUAAACCAAAAAGCAAAGGAGUUCUUCCUGAAAAACUGCCUCUGAGCUAUAUUCCUAACUGGAUGCUCUUUAAAAUAAGAACAAGAGAAGCCUUGAAAUCUUUUGGUCAAUGGCAUCUAUUAGAACUUAAGUAAAACAUCUUCUUAAAAGUGUUUGUUUCACUGUGCGAUAGCAAGAAAUCAAUAUUUAAAUGUCCAUAUAAAAAGUCUAUACUCGCCAGGCCUGGUGGUGAACGCCUUUAAUCCCAGCACUCAGGAGGCAGAGGCGGGUGGAUUUCUGAGAUCAAGGCCAGCCUGGUCUACAAAGUGAGUUCCAGGACAGCCAGGGCUACACAGAGAAACCCUGUCUCAAAAAACAAACAAACAAACAAAAAGUCUGUACUCUGAAAACAUCUUAGUGUUAUAAAGAUAAUGAUAUGUAUGCUUGUUUGGUUCUGGGAUUGCAGAUGAUAUUACUGGUGAAGAGAGGGGUGGAAACACUCUCUGCUUACAGGGUUUUUUUGUUUGGUUAUGUUUUGUUGUUAUUGUUGGUUUUUUUUGUUUUGGUUUUUUUUUAUUUUUUUUUGGUUUUUUUUUUUCCCACCCCCAACUCCCAUUUAGUGUAAUUGUUUAUUGCCAUUUCUUCAUUUUCUUGUUUAGCUCUGACUUCCAGGGUUUGAAGUUUUGUUUUUGUUUUUAAGUUUUAAUUUAUGUAUUAGUUAUGAGUAUACUGUUGCUGUCUUCAGACACACCAGAAGGGGGCAUCAGAUCCCAUUACAGAUGGUUGUGAGCCACCAUGUGGAUGCUAGGAAUUGAACUCAGGACCUCUGGAAGAGCAGUCAGUGCUCUUAACUGCUGAGCCAUCUCUCCAGCCCUAUGAUUUUUUUAUUAGUUGGCUCUGGGUAUUGAUUGAACCCAGGGCUUCAUGUACAGACAUGGCAAACCUAUGCUUUACUACUUAGCUAUACUCCAGCCCCUUUUUAUGGUGGUUUUAUGUUUCCUAUAUUUUAUGUAAUACAUGAAUUGGCAUGUAAAUUAUAGCCCUUUAAAUUCAGCUAACUUUAGGAAUUUGUUUACUGAUUCUUGAUUUGAUUAGUGACCUCUCAGUUAAGUUUCUUGGGGACUAAUGAAGGAGUGGAGUGAGGUCAGCUAGGAUGAUAAGUCUUUGUGUUCUAUGAACAUGAAUGACCUAUAACUCCCUAAGAAACAGGUGACUAAUCUGAGCUAGGGAAUUUUCUAGAAAGGAGGGAAGAUGGAGCAGGACUACCUCCUCUGUAUGUGUAUAUGUCCUGUGACUUUCUGAUGGUUAUCAGAUGUUAGCAUUAUUGGAAAGAACUGGGGGUUCUUGCUAGUGAUGUUGAUAGUGCUAGUAGACAGGAGCACAGAUGGCAGUUAGUUCAGAGCAAAUCAUUUCUAAGCUUUUCUUUUACACACACCUUUUAAAGAGAAUGUUAUGUCUGAAACAUUAGGGCUUAAAAUAUUUUAAUAUUUUUAUCAGAAAAGGGAGUCAUUUGACAUAUUUCAAGUUGGAUGAAAUAAUUUGCUUUGAAUAUUCUACCUAUUUAUACUUGUUAAUUGAGAUGCUAAUAUCUUUAAAAUUCUAAUUGAGAUCCAGAGCCAAAUCUUUAAUUUUUAAUGGUAGACAAAGGUUCACUACUCCAAGUUUUAAUACUAUUCAAGAUUGAAUUUUUGCCUAAAAUUUUUGCCUAAGUGGCCCCUAGUUUAGGCCCCUAAAUCUGAGCUUGAUUGUUAUGGCUAAGAAGGGUUAUCGAAGAUACCUAGUAUUGCAAGUAUUGUGUUUAACACAUGCUGAUAAGGUGUGAAUGGGACCCAAGUCUGAACAGAAAAUUCAUUUAUGUUUUGUGUACUUUUUAUACACAGCCUAAAGAUAAUUUUUAAAAAUGUGUUCAUCUUUUUAUGUUUGUAUAUUUUGCCUGUGUGUGUGUGUGUGUGUACACGUGUGCAUGCAUGCAUGCAGGUGUAAAAUGUGUGUAUGUAUGUAGGUGUACCACAUACAUGCUUGGUGCCUCAGAGAUCAGAAAAGGGUAUUGGAUCCUGUGGACUGGAGUUACAGAUGGUUGUGAAGCACUGUAUGGAUUCUGAGAACUGAUCUUGACCUUCUGCAAGGGCUAUAUACAAAUGCUCUUAACUGCUGAGCCAUCAUCUCUCUCACUAAAGAUAAUUUUAUGUAAUAUUUUUAAUAUUUUUGUGCAUGAAUCAAACUUAUGGUAGGAAAAUUUGCCACUAUGACAUAGCACUCCCCCACCAAAGAUUUAUUAUUUUGGAUUUUAAGAUAGUCAACCAAUAAACUUUGCAUAAGAUUUUAUGAGUUAAGUUGUGGAAAAGGAAUUUAAUAUGCUCAGAAGUAUUCAUUACCAUGUGUUUCAGAAUUUGUUUAAGCAAAUAAUUCUUUUAGGGGGCUGAUGAGAUGGCUUUACAGGUAGGCUCUUGCUACAGAGCCUAGCAGCCUGAACUUUAUAUCCCUGGGACUUGUGAUGGAAGAAGAGAACUGACUCCCCAUAGGCUGCUCUCUGUCAGCACACAUGUUCACACACAUAUACUCACAAAGUAAAG